rnacentral:tRNA from 1 species
AAUUAAUGAGCUUGAAUAAGCAUUUGUUUUGAAAACUUAAUAAAGAUUUUAUAAUAUCUAUUAAUUU